CCUACGGGAGACUGCAGUGAGGAAUAUUGGUCAAUGGUCGGGAGACUGAACCAGCCAAGCCGCGUGAGGGAUGAAGGUACAGAGUAUCGUAAACCUCUUUUGUCAGUGAACAAAGGCGGUGACGCGUCCCCGGAUGAGUGUACCUGAAGAAAAAGCAUCGGCUACCUCCGUUCCAGCAGCCGCGGUAAUACGGGGGAUGCGAGCGUUAUCCGGUUUGAUUGGGUUAAAAGGGUGGGCAGGCGGGAUGUUAAGUCAGCGGGCAAAGCCCGGGGCUCAACCCCGGCCCGCCGUUGAAACUGGCAGUCUCGAGUUGGAGAGAAGUAUGCGGAAUGCGCGGUGUAGCGGUGAAAUGCAUAGAUAUCGCGCAGAACUCCGAUUGCGAAGGCAGCAUGCCGGCUCCACACUGACGCUGAGGCACGAAAGCGUGGGUAUCGAACAGGAUUAGAUACCCGUGUAGUC
rnacentral:rRNA from 1 species